rnacentral:rRNA from 1 species
UUAAAUUUUUGAAGUUAUGUUAGCUUUUUUGUUGGGUGAAAUCAGUAUAAAGAGUUUCUCUUUCUUUUAAAAUUAAUAGGAAUUAAAAAACUUUGAUUUAAAACCAGGAUUAGAUACCCUGUUAUUCUAAGUUAUAUUUAGACAGGGUAGUAAAAGCUGUUCUUCAAACCCAAAGAUUUUGGCGGCACUUUAUCCAAAUAGAGGAGCUUGUCCCUUAAUCGAUAGUCCCCGUUUUAUCUUUCCUCUGUUUGUAGAGCUUGUAUACCGCCGUUGUCAGAUUACUUUUAGAGAAUGUUUUCAAGUUAAAAGACUUUUUUACUUCAGGUCAAGGUGCAGUUUAUAUAGAGGUGGAGGUGAGCUACAAUUUUCUUUAGAAAUACGGAUUUCAAGCCUUGAAGCUGGUUGAAGGUGGAUUUAUUAGUAAAGUAA